UACGAAGGGUGCAAGCGUUACUCGGAAUUACUGGGCGUAAAGCGUGCGUAGGUGGUUUGUUAAGUCUGCUGUGAAAGCCCCGGGCUCAACCUGGGAAUGGCAGUGGAUACUGGCAAGCUAGAGUGCGGUAGAGGGGUGUGGAAUUCCCGGGUGUAGCGGUGAAAUGCGUAGAUAUCGGGAGGAACACCUGUGGCGAAAGCGGCGCACUGGACCAUAACUGACGCUGAUGCGCGAAAGCUAGGGGAGCAAACAGG
rnacentral:rRNA from 1 species